rnacentral:lncRNA from 1 species
CACCGUUUUAACACCGGAACACGACAGCAUGCUAACGGAAGUUUGAAUCCUUCAUGGCGGCGCUCAUCAGGGUUUUUCCUGUUUGGCGGCAUUCAUUGUUUGCAUGCCUGUGGGUGGCUCUCAUAAACCAGGCCGACCGGCUCAUUAACCUUCUCCGAUGACAGCGUGAGCAGGAUCGCCCUACUAAGAGCUGUGUACCACGCCCUGCGCUGCACCUGUUCCUCCA